CAGAAUCUCCGCCUACAUUUCAGAGGAUAUGGAAAUGCCUGGGUGUUCAGGCAGAAGUUUGUGGCAGGGACAAAGCCUUCAUGGAGAGCCUCUGCUAAGGCAGUGUGGCAGGGAAAUGUGGGGUCAGAGCCCACACACAGAGUUCCCACUGGGGCACUACCUAGUGGACCUGUAAAUGGAGGGCCACUAUCCUUCAGACCCCAGAAUGGGAGAUCCACUGACAACUUGCACUGUGCACCUAAAGAAGCCAUAGGCACUUAAUGCCAGCCCACGAAAGCAGCUAGGAGGGGGGCUGUACCCUGCAAAGCCACAGAGACAGAGCUUCCCAAUGCCUUGGGAGCCCACCUCUUACAUCAGCAUUACCUGGAUGUGAGACAUGGAGUCAAAGGAGAACAUUUUGGACCUUUAAAAUUUAAUGACUGCCCUGUUAAAUUUCAGACUUGCAUGGGCCCUGUAAUCCCUUUGUUUUGGCCAAUUUCUCCCAUUUGGAAUGGGUGAAUUUACCCAAUGCCUGUACCCCCGUGGUAUCUAGGAAGUAACUAACUUUCUUUUGAUUUUACAGGCUCAUAGGUGAAAGAGACUUGCCUUGUCUCAGAUGAGGCCUUGGACUGGACUUUUGGAUUAAAGCUGGAAUGAGUUAAGACUUUGGGGGACUGUUGGAAAGCCAUUAUUGUGUUUUGAAAGUGCAUGUCUCAAAAGGAGGAACUUUAAAGUCAAAAGGUCCUUAGAAGCAAUGUGCCUUACACUGAUGAAACUGACGAUUAGAGGGACCAAUUUAAGAGGAGCAGCUUGAAGCAAAGAGGUCAGAAGACGGACUACAAGGAACAUGCUUUAUUGACACAUCAAACAGACUGCAGAACCAGGCAGCCUUCUCAGCAAAGAGACAAAGAGAAUAUUUCUACUAGGAAUAGGGAUGAGGCAGGGGCCAGCUACACCUGGAAGGCUUUCACCACAGAAUACUGCUGCCUGAAGAUGUUAUAAUAUACCCUACAAGUGAAGAAGGCCUAGCAGCUGGGUACUCUCCAUCUAAUCCACGGGAGGCAGGUACCCAGCGUGGACUUUCUGACAGUGACUGUCACCAUUAUCUCAGGUGGUUUCUGCACUCAGAUGAAGGGCUGCCUUUUCAGGUCUUGAUUUCCAUUGACUCCACUCUGCUUAUGCCAGCGGCUCCCAUGAUCACAAUCUAAACUUUCCUCUGAACUCACUAAUUAGAACAAACAUUUCGUAUUCUCAAACUUUUUAAUCAUCUUCUUCCACCCCACUCAAUACCCAUGUACAUACUCUUAACUAUGGCAUAUUAUGUCACCGUUAGGUUCAUGAGAUCAAUAGUAUGUCUCAUAUGGUACUACCUUCAAUGUGUGCCAAGAAUCCAACAACUCAAAUUGUUGAGCUUGAAUUUCUGCUGUUCAAACUGACUGGAAUUUAACCUGUUUUCUUAGCUUCUUUUUUUGAGAAUGAAGAUGUUUUUUCUACUGCCUUUCAUGAACAGUUCCUCCCCAUGCCUGGGUCCUUGCUCCUCUCCCUGAAUCCACUCCUCCAGUGUUCUCAUCACACUAAAUGAAGCCACCAGGUAUCCAAGUAGCUCAAAGCAGAAUUUUACAGAUGCUCUUGAAGUCACCCCCUUCCCUGCACCCCUCCAAAUGCAAUCUAUUAUCAAAUACUGCAAAUCAAUUCUGGAAAGCGAGAGAGGCUUGGCCUCCCUUGUCAGACCUAGAUCCUGGAAAUCUAUAGACUUAAGAAUAAAUGUCUUCCUGCUGGUGGGAUAUUAAGAUGAUAUAAAAUGUGAAUGAGCCCUGGGAAGGGAGCCUCUGUAUCCCAGAGUCUCAUGUGCUGAAUCGGAAAGUUAAGCACAGACCAAGUUAUCCUCAAUAGGCUAAAUUUUCUAGGACCUUGGAAUAUUCUGUAUUUAUUUCCCCCUUCUUUACAUCUGAGCCAUUUCUUAAAGGAGUGUUUAUUCACUGUUACCUGAUCUCUGGUUGGCUUUGAGGCACAUUAAGCAUAAACAUCAUGUCUGUCCUUAAUAACUGUGGCACAUGUGUUGAGCAUUUAUCAUCCAAGGCAGCAUGCUACGUGUUUUCCAUGUACUAAUUCAUUCAAUCCUCUCACUAAAUCUACAAAAUUGGCACAAUUGGUACUGUCAGUACUCCCAUUUUAUACAUGAAGCAACUGAGACUCACAGAAGUUAAAUAACGUGCUCCAAGUCAGAGCUAAUAAGUGACAUUUCACAGAUGAGAACACUGAGCCCAAAGAGGUUAAGUUCAGAUGCAUGUGGUAAACAGGUGGUCAAAUUGAUAUACUACCUAUAUCUGUUUGGAUCAGAUGCCUUUGGAAGGUUAACAAAAUUCAGCAAGUCCUGGGUAUAUUGUGUUCAUCUGAGUUGAAAUAAAUUUUGUCCAGUUCCUCAACAAGAAAACCAGCGUUCUAGCAGAGGAGAUAGAAUGCAUGUGAAGAGAAAUACUCUCAAAGCAAGAGCACGUUCUUGACUGGGACAAAAAGCCAAAAAUUAGGAACCAAAAAAGUCAUUGAAAAAGAGAAGUUAAAAUAGGGAGCUCUAGAAAAUGCUCAUAAACAGAGUGGGGUGCUGACUGCCUCAGUAGAGAAAAGGCUGAUAACUGUAUCAGGCUAGCCAAACAGGAGAACAUUAGGAUAGAGCAUUGUCACCAAGGAUAAUUUAGAAAGUAUAAGACAAAUCAAGCCAGUGGCGUUAUCCCAACAUUAUAAAGGCAAAGUCCAUUUUAGAAGCAGCCUAAUUCCUGAAACUUACACUUCUUUCCUGAAAGCUGUCACUGUCUUGUUCGUCAUGACAAAGAACAAUAGAAAUCUUUUGUCUUUUAGCCAGAUAUCAACAGUUUUAUUCCAUUUCUGUGGACCGUUGCAAAACACCAAGGAUGGAGUUCACUGUGGGACAGUGCAUGGGAUGAACAAAAGAGAAUUGAGUGGUUUUAUUAGGAUGUCAGCAAGCAAGGCAGAAGGGGUGCAAGGCUAGUACAAUGGGCGUUGUGUCACUAAGCACAGAUGCUCAAGGGUUGGGCCGAUCAUCAUAACUGAUUUGGAGCUCACACUAUGAGGUGAGAAAGAAAUACAUUUUUCCCCCUUAGAAAUAAGAAGGAAUGUGAAAAGAAAACCCAUUCUUUGUCCUGUAAGAGAUGCGGAAGGAGAGAACAGCAGCAUAAAUGUGUGCAUGAGUAAGAGGGAUUCUCACGCUUGGGUGAGAAAAAGCAAAUAAAGCCCACGCUUUGAUGUUAUAAGUAAUUUUAUCAAGGUCUUAUGGUGUGGCUUGCAGCAUUUGAAGAAUGAGGAGGAAAGGAAAGGCAUGUGUCUUGAUUGAAGCUUAAAAACUGCCAAAAAUUAACUUCGAGAAUUCCUGCCCUACUUGAUGAUGCCUCCGUAUUGCAGUUAGCAAAACUAUACAUGAAUUCCACAAGGAGUCUAUGGAUUGUCAUUAAGACAUCAGAAAUAUUUUAAUUGUAUUCAAAAUUAUGUGUUUGUGUGAAUGCACACAUUUUGAUAGAGGAGAGAAGUUUGCAGAGAUUUCAUAAAUUUCUUGAAGGAGACUAAGUUCCCAAAUAUUGAAGAAACACUGUCAGACAGUAUUGAUUUUUCCUACGUUCCCCUAUGUACCUGAUUUGGGUUUUCAUCACAUAGCUCAGGUAUCUUUGAAACUGAC
rnacentral:lncRNA from 10 species